AGGUAUAAUCAUACCAGUAGUAAUGCAUAGGAUCCCAUUAUAACCCCGUAGUUAAGCGUUGUUGCGGGAUACUAGUACUAUGAUGGGUGACCUUCCGGGAAGUCCUCUUGUUACACCUC
rnacentral:rRNA from 1 species